rnacentral:rRNA from 1 species
UUCCAUAAAUUUUUAGAUAAGAUUUUACAUGAAAUUCAAUUGUGAAUUUUAGAAAUGUUGGCGGUGUUAUAUUUAAAUUCUGAGAAACUUGCUAAAGAUAAUAAAAAAUGAAAUUGCACAAUUUAUCUUACCUAAAUUUUAUUUAUUUAUGUAUUGCUGUUUAAUUUAUUUUUUGAAAUUAUUUUUUAAUAAGUUAAUAUAAUAAAGUAUAGUUUAAAAUUUAAGUCAAAAUGUAGUUUUAUUUAGGGUUUGGUGAGUUGCAUUUUUUUAGGAGAAUAAGUGGGAAUAAAAAUUGAAAUAAUUUUUAGGAAAUAGGAUUAGGGUGUAAUUGGAAAUUAGUAAGUUUUUUUGAUAAAUUUUUAUUAACAUGU